UCCACUUGCCAGGGUUUAAUCAUCCAAUACCAAGAGGUUUUCUUGGCAUUCUGUAUUGUGGUUGGUCAGUGGGCGUCUCCUCUGUAGAUAUAUGCCCUGGUACGUGAUUUAGCAGUGCCAGUGCACGAGGAGUGUGCCCGUGAAUGACUGGGUGUGUACGCUGUGUCCUACGUGGCUGACCAGGAUAUAAUUCUUUGUUUACCAGAAUAAAUCCGACAAGAUUGAGAAGCAAGUGUGAAGU